CUCUUCGUUCCCCCCUCACUAAACAGUUAUCUCGAACGUUUUCAGUGUAUCGUGUUGUGAUUUUAAGCGCCCUUCCAAACUUUUUAGAUGUCGGAGCAGUGCGUGAGGAUAAUUCGUCUUUACCCGGAUGAAGAAGGUGGUGUUACAAGUGAGUGAAACCAGUGAAAUCCGUAUAUUAUUUUUUACGGAAAUCCACGUCAAGAGGACUUAUUGAUUUUUCCACGCGGACUUCCAACGCAUGGAUUGGACCACAUUUGUAACGGCUCGACUACAUCAAACGAGACUGAAGGAAGUUAUUGCUGUAAUCACCCGGACAACGAGAAGGACACAUCGGACGCCGGCUUGACGGCCCGGCAGGCAGCUCUUGUCCCAUAAACAAACGGCCCGAAGGAGGUCGCCACUGUUCCCGUAGGACUGCCGGGUGAUCGGGAUGAAUAUUUCACGGUACAUUCGCGGGAUUUGCCGAGGCUGUUUUCUUCCUGUUUCCUGAGACGAGGUAAGCCUCGUUCACCGCGUCGAUCGCGCUUCGCUUUAAUGACAUCCGGCUUCCAUGCGAGGGGUGAAAAACGGGAAUACGGGGUUCGUUCCGCCGUCACGCU